AUGUGUACUUACAUUAGCUGCUGCAUGCUUAGUUUUGUUUACUGUUUUCCUCUAACCUCUAACCAUGCUUCUUUUACAAGACAGUUUAGGGGCCUUGUUUACCCGGACCAUGGAUGACAGGGAACGAGGGCCUCUCUUUCCCAGGACUCUUUCUACAUCAUGAGGAGUAAUGAAAAGGACUUGUCAUUGCCUCCAGCUGCCAUUUAAAACUGUCUCUGCUUCCUGCAGAAAGGACUGUAGAUGUUUUCCAAAGAUGUAAUCUGCAUAAUGCAAAGCUAAAUGGCCAGGGAAGAAGGUUGGCAAACAUAAUUCACCUGGGUUCUUUCCUCAUGCAUGUUUAAUGAUCUAUUCAACUGAAACGAACUUUGGUAAA